GACGAACGCUGGCGGCGUGCUUAACACAUGCAAGUCGAACGGAAAGGCCCUGCUUUUGUGGGUUGCUCGAGUGGCGAACGGGUGAGUAACACGUGAGUAACCUGCCCUUGACUUUGGGAUAACUUCAGGAAACUGGGGCUCAUACCGGAUAGGAGCUCCUGCUGCAUGGUGGGGGUUGGAAAGAUUCGGCGGUUGGGGAUGGAAUGGCGGCUUAUCAGCUUGAUGGUGGGGUAGUGGCUUACCACGGCUUUGAAGGGUAGCCGGCCUGAGAGGGUUACCGGCGACAAUGGGACUGAGAUACGGCCCAGACGCGAAUGGGAGGCAGCGGGGGGGAAUAUUGCACAAUGGGCGGGAGCGUGAUGCGGCAACGCCGCGUGCGGGAAGACCGGCUUCGGGUUGUAAACCGCUGUCGCCUGUGACGAGGCGUGAGUGACGGUAACGGGUAAAGAAGCACCGGCUAACUACGUG
rnacentral:rRNA from 1 species